rnacentral:rRNA from 1 species
GGGGGGAGUAACCAGUCGAAAGAACGGGCUAAUAACCGCAUGAGCUGGAGACAGGAAAGCGGGGGGACCGGUAAGGCCUCGCGCGAUUGGAGCGGCCGAUGUCCGAUUAGCUAGUUGGUAGGGUAAAGGCCUACCAAGGCGACGAUCGGUAGCUGGUCUGAGAGGAUGAUCAGCCACACUGGGACUGAGACACGGCCCAG